rnacentral:lncRNA from 10 species
AAUCACCAAAAAGUUAUUACAAAUAAAAGUAAAUUUCCUUCUUAUUCCUGACAGGCAUUAUCUAGUUCCUUCCCCCUGAAACAACUAGCAGUAUCAGUUUUCUGUGUAUCCAUAUCGAUGGUAACGUUUUAAAUCCAGGUUGGAGUGCACUGAGAUCAUGGCUCACUGCAGCCUCGAACUCCUGGGCUCAAGUGAUCCUCCUGCCUCAGCCUCCCAAGCAGCUAGGACUACAGGCAUGCACCACCGUAACCAUGCCCAGAUCCAUUUUUCACCCUACCUGGCAAUCUCAAAAGAAGUCCAAAGUUGAUCAUAUGCACGUGCCCCAGAUGAAGGAAACAGAAACUGUUCACAUAGAGUGCAGUAUUAUCGUUGCCAUUUCAUAAUGGCUCUAAAAAACUUUGUUCUUCAUGACUUCGCAAGCUCUUGCAACCCCUUCCAAUAAACAUUAUUUU